GGUAAAAAAAAGGUAAGCUACUAAGAGCGAAUGGUGGAUGCCUUGACUGGUAAAGGCGAUGAAGGACGUACUAGACUGCGAUAAGCUACGGGGAGCUGUCAAGAAGCUUUGAUCCGUAGAUUUCCGAAUGGGGCAACCCAAUGUAUAGAGAUAUACAUUACCUAUAUAGGAGCGAACGAGGGGAAUUGAAACAUCUUAGUACUCUCAGGAAAAGAAAUCAAUAGAGAUUGCGUCAGUAGCGGCGAGCGAAAGCGCAAGAGGGCAAACCCAGUGCUUGCACUGGGGGUUG
rnacentral:rRNA from 1 species